rnacentral:snoRNA from 1 species
AACUAGCACGGAUGUCAAAUUGCAAUUCGGUCCUUUUAAUGACUGUUCGUUGUGCCGAAGAUGUGCUGAAAUCAAAUGCUGCGAUUGUCCUGUGAUGGGAACGGCUUCUGCAGACCUCUCUUCUCUAUAGGGAGGGGCAGUCGACGGAUCACAUACAU